rnacentral:rRNA from 1 species
UACGGAGGGUGCAAACGUUGCUCGGAAUUAUUGGGCGUAAAGCGCGCGCAGGCGGUCCUUUAAGUCUGAUGUGAAGGCCCACGGCUCAACCGUGGAGGGUCAUUGGAAACUGGGGGACUUGAGUACAGAAGAGAAGAGUGGAAUUCCACGUGUAGCGGUGAAAUGCGUAGAGAUGUGGAGGAACACCAGUGGCGAAGGCGACUCUUUGGUCUGUAACUGACGCUGAGGCGCGAAAGCGUGGGGAGCAAACAGG